AUGAUGGAGACUAUUAUUCCCCCACAAGUCGGGAUGAGACUUCGGACUUUACACAAAAAAAAGAAAAAAAGAGAAAAAAUAAAAGAAAAAAAGAGAAAAAGAGACAAGGGACAAUGCUACUAUCCUUUUACCACACUUGUGCUUCAAAGAAGAACCAUGAUCUUCAUGAAAGAGAGUCUCCUAUGUUGUCACUUUCAUAUACUAGUGGGAAUUUUUAAUUAUAGAACUUGGCUUGUAUAUUCCAAUGAUGGGCUUCCUCAAAAUGCCCUAGGUCUUCAUGAGCAAGAGAGUUGGAUGCACACCCACUUAGUUUCUUUUGUUGAGCUUCCAUACAUUUAUAGCUCUAGUGCAUCCGUUGCAUGGCAAUCCCUACUCACUCACAUUGAUAUCUAUUAA
rnacentral:rRNA from 1 species